UACAGAGGUCUCAAGCGUUGUUCGGAUUCAUUGGGCGUAAAGGGCGCGUAGGCUGCGGGGCAAGUCGGGUGUGAAAUCUCAGAGCUCAACUCUGAAACUGCACUCGAUACUGCCGUGCUUGAGGACUGGAGAGGAGACUGGAAUUUACGGUGUAGCGGUGAAAUGCGUAGAUAUCGUAAGGAAGACCAGUGGCGAAGGCGGGUCUCAGGACAGUUCCUGACGCUGAGGCACGAAGGUCAGGGGAGCAAACGGG
rnacentral:rRNA from 1 species